rnacentral:tRNA from 1 species
UCACACAUAGCUCAGUAGGCAGAGCGUCUGACUUUUAAUCAGAAAGUCGUGGGUUCGAGUCCCACUGUGUGGAA